UUACGGUCAAAUCACGCUAAAGUCAUCGGUUCCCGUUUAAUCACCAAAAUUACGUAGUGUUGAGCCAGGUUAGUACUUAGAUGGGGGACCGCUUGGGAACACCGAGUACUGUAAG